AGGGGGGCAACUCCCUGAGUAAAGCGGCGCACGGGUGAGUAACACGUAGGUAAUCUCCCCUCGAGCCUGGAAUAACCUACCGAAAGGUGGGCUAAUACCGGAUAUGACCACGGAAGUUUCGGCUUCUGCGGUGAAAGAUGGCCUCUAUUUAUAAGCUAUCACUCAAGGAUGAGCCUGCGUGCCAUUAGCUAGUUGGUGGGGUAAUGGCCCACCAAGGCUAUGAUGGCUAGCUGGUCUGAGAGGAUGGCCAGCCACACUGGGACUGAAACACGGCCCAGACUCCUACGGGAGGCAGCAGUGGGGGAUAUUGCGCAAUGGGCGAAAGCCUGACGCAGCGACGCCGCGUGGGUGAUGAAGGCCUUCGGG
rnacentral:rRNA from 1 species